rnacentral:rRNA from 1 species
GACGAACGCUGGCGGCGUGCUUAACACAUGCAAGUCGAACGGUGAACCUCUUCGGAGGGGAUCAGUGGCGAACGGGUGAGUAACACGUGGGCAACCUGCCCCCGGCUCUGGGAUAACUCCAAGAAAUUGGGGCUAAUACCGGAUGUUCACCGCUUCCCGCAUGGGUGGUGGUGGAAAGGGUUUCCGGCUGGGGAUGGGCCCGCGGCCUAUCAGCUUGUUGGUGGGGUAGUGGCCUACCAAGGCGACGACGGGUAGCCGGCCUGAGAGGGUGACCGGCCACACGGGGACUGAGACACGGCCCAGACUCCUACGCGAGGCAGCAGUGGGGAAUAUUACGCAAUGGGCGGAAGCCUGACGCAGCGACGCCGCGUGGGGGAUGACGGCCUUCGGGUUGAAAACCUCUGUCAGCAGGGACGAAGCGCAAGUGACGGUACCUGCAGAAGAAGCACCGGCCAACUACGUG